UUCUCACGGAGGCCAGCGCUGGGCCAAUCGCAGCAGCAGGAAUUCCUUUCAGCGCGCGCUCCGGCCAGGACAACGCUUCCAAUAGACUAGGCCCCAUUCCCGGCACCGCGGCGGCAGCAGGAAGGAAGGACGGAAGGAGCAGAGGAGAGUAGAUCUCUGCAAAGAGCGAGUCCUUUCUGCAGGUGGACAUUGCGAGGAGUGGACGGGGAGGGGGAAAGCGGGCGAGUGGCGGAGUUGCUGCUUGCAACAUUACGGGUAUCUCUCGCAAGGUGGGGACACUGUGGAAAAGGAAUUCGGCUCCGUCAGAACUGCCUUCCCUAUUUGUAUCCGAUGUCGUUAGUUAAAUCGUUGGUGUCCAGCUCAGUUCUAUGCACGUUUACCUUACUCCGAAAUCCAGAACCUCAACUUUCCUAAAGUUGAGGUUGGCUGUUCAUGUCACUGAUUACAAUUUAUAACUUAUCUGCACUUGGAAGUUUGUAUUCCACUACUACUGAUCUCUUCCCUGCUCCAACUUCCACUAAUUAGAGUCCUCCUCAAAGAUGGAUAGUCGCUCAAGAAAGAGAUUCUACCAGCCUGGGAGACUGCAGAUUGGGUGGGACUGGCAGAUGCUCGUUUCGUUUGCAAUUUGCCCUGCAGUUAAUAUGCAGGCAAAGUCAUACUUACCUUUUGAUAAAAUUGACACAGAAGUAAACAAUAACGGGGGUUGGGUGGUUGGGUUUAAAGUGACAUGUGCCAGUGUGGCGUCAGGUUUACACUGACGCCCUAGUUAGCUCUUUAGCCUGGCAUUUCUGCAGCUCGUUCUCUGCUUAGCAAAGACCCUGCCGUUUUUGUUGUUGAUGUGAAUAGAAGACAGUUUCCAAGAUCUCUCUUUUUACAAACCGGAAUCUGUCUUCCAGAAUGGCUUGACCUGUCACUUUAAAAAUAUUUCUGCAGAAUGGGGUAUGAUCGGUUUUCUUUCCAGUUACCCCCAUAGGCUUAUCGUUAAUAAUUGGCCAAUGGCCACCGUUAAGAAAGUGGGUACCCAAAUAAUCAAUUUUAUUAAAUAAUCAAUGCCCAUAUACAUGCGGGCGGGCGGGGGUAUAGCUGGAUCAGUAUUAUCCGACUCCAUCUCUGUGUCUCUCUCUACCUAGUAUAAUCAACACAAGGGGAUAGUGACUAGGGAGGCACAGAGGUCACCUUAUUUUCACUUUAAUUGUUAUAUUUUAUUAUCCAGACUGCCCUUUCCAGCAAGGGCAUUCUGACCUGAUCGCUCUGCAGUCCCAGCCAAAAGCCAACCUCAAUCCUCCACACAGCCUGAUUCCAAUGGCAUUUCUUCCCAAAUUAAGUAUAUGUAGGAUGGAAGAACUCAAGGUAUGAUCCCCCCAAUAUGCCUCCCA